rnacentral:rRNA from 1 species
UGGGGAAUAUUGGACAAUGGGCGAAAGCCUGAUCCAGCAAUUCCGCGUGUGUGAAGAAGGCCUUAGGGUUGUAAAGCACUUUAAUCAGGGAAGAAAAGCUUUGGCUAAUAUCCAAAGCCUUGACGGUACCUGAAGAAUAAGCACCGGCAAACUCUGUGCCAGCAGCCGCGGUAAUACAGAGGGUGCGAGCGUUAAUCGGAUUUACUGGGCGUAAAGCGUGCGUAGGAGGCUUGUUAAGUCGGUUGUGAAAUCCCCGGGCUCAACCUGGGAACUGCAGUCGAUACUGGCAAGCUAGAGUUCGGUAGAGGGUGGUGGAAUUUCCGGUGUAGCGGUGAAAUGCGUAGAGAUCG